rnacentral:rRNA from 1 species
ACAUAGGGAGCAAGCGUUGUCCGGAUUUACUGGGUGUAAAGGGUGCGUAGGCGGCAAGGCAAGUCAGAUGUGAAAUGUAUGGGCUCAACCCAUAAGCUGCAUUUGAAACUGUCUAGCUUGAGUGAAGUAGAGGCAGGCGGAAUUCCCGGUGUAGCGGUGAAAUGCGUAGAGAUCGGGAGGAACACCAGUGGCGAAGGCGGCCUGCUGGGCUUUAACUGACGCUGAGGCACGAAAGCGUGGGUAGCAAACAG